GAGAAGAGGAGCAGUGGCUGCUGUCACUGGGGGUUCCUGGCCCAAACAGAGCGUGUCCAGCCCUGCUGCUUUCUUGGUCACAGACAGCUGCCUUGGUGAGGACCAUGGGCCCUGAAGGAAUUGGCUUCAGUCUCAAGCCUGUUUGAGUCAAUCGGUGAUAUCUCGCACCCACUUGAUCCUACAACAAGAUGGCAAAGAGCAUCUUCAACAGUCUGCUGCAGGAGGAGCUGAAUAUUUGAAAUAUUUGAUCUGAGAGAAGGACUUCUCAUUGUUUCCAUGCUGAGUUUCAGCCCAUACUGUGCUCACGACAAACCUAAAACUUUUGGGCAGGAACCUUGGAACAUCCAACAGAAGGGGCAUUCUAUCAAGCAUCUCCCUUCCAAGAAAUACAUUAACCUGCAUGGACUGCAGCAUGUUGAAGCUGUCUGCUUUCUUUGCUCCACUCCUUUUUCACAAGACCAGGGCCAGAAUCCCCUGCAAAUGCUGGGGAUCGAUUAGCCAUCUUUGAUGAGGCAGUUGAAAUUUCUGUCACUGCUAUUCCUUCCUCUCUUUGCAGCUUGAGGAAGUGAGAUUAUUAUGGAUGUUUUUCAAACAGUGUCUGGAAGUAACUGUCUCAGGCAGAGAAGGAUACUCUGUAGAGGUUCCUUUUUUCUUUGCAAGUUCAGCUCAUGUUUCGGGACCGUGGGGCAGGAGGUAAAGUAGCAUGUGCUAUUUACAGGCAACAAUUACACCAGUGUUAAGGGCAAACUGAGAAUAAUUUUG
rnacentral:lncRNA from 1 species